UCCGAUUCCAUUAGAGGAGAGUCCAAGAUUCUACAGCAUUUUCACUAGGAGGAUACUUUUGAGAGCCUCAAUUACAGCCUUCUCCAUCUUAUAAAUUAAGAAACAAAGGCCCAGGGAGUUGUUCAAAAUCACCCAACAACAGUCAGGGACACGGUUGGGACAGAGCCCAAUCCGGAGCUCAUAAAAGCAAUCCCAGGGGGCCUGGGUGACACAGUCGGUUAAGCAUCUAGCUUUCGGUUUCCACGCAGGUCAUUGUUAAGUUUUUUAGUAACUAGAUGGAAAUGAGACCGCCAAGGAAAGCCCACCGCAGGCACCCAGGAAAGAGACUGAACGUGCAGAGAAACAGCUGAGCUCGCAUCCAGGCCUGGGCCUGGGGCCCGGGGGCAGAAGGCGCUGGAGCAGGAGUGGAGGGGAGUUUAGAGCUUCCCUCUGGCCAUUGCGUGAGAUGUUCCCACACCUCUCCCACUCUGUCCCCUUAGAAUUUCAUAGGACAAGGGUGUUAGAAGAAGACACGAUGCCCAAAUAGGAGUAGAGACAGUUGCCCAGGGCCACACAGCCUCGGAACAGUAUCAGAACCAGAAACCUGGCACCUGGUUCUUGGCUCUUUUCAUUAGAUGACUACAUGGGGAAGUGGGAUGGGCGUGGAAGAGGACACGGAUGUAGUGACAGCAGCCACAACUACCCUUUCUGUCUCCAUUGUGUCUCUUUUACGAUUUUAGAAUUCCUCAAAUGUUUGGGAUUUUCUCAUACUCCUUAGUCACUGAUGUGUCCCUAUUAGGGAUUCCUAAUCAUUUCUGGUCCACUGAAGACAUUCCUUCUUAGUCCCCAGUAUAAAAAUGGAUUUAUUAAAAAUAUUUUUCUUUCA